GUCGUGAGAUGUUGGGUUAAGUCCCGCAACGAGCGCAACCCCUACUGUGUGUUGUAUCACUCACACGGGACUGCCGAGAGAAACUCGGAGGAAGGUGGGGAUGACGUCAAGUCAGCAUGGCCCUUACGUCUUGGGCUACACCCACGCUACAAUGGCCGGUACAACGGGCAGCUAAACCGCGAGGUGGAGCUAAUCCCAAAAGCCGGUCUCAGUUCGGAUCGUAGGCUGCAACUCGCCUGCGUGAAGCCGGAGUUGCUAGUAACCGCCGGUCAGCAUACGGCGGUGAAUAUGUUCCCGGGCCUUGUACACACCGCCCGUCACGUCAUGGAAGCCGAUAACACCCGAAGCCGGUGGGCCAACCGCAAGGAGGCAGCCGUCGAAGGUGGGAUUGGUGACUGGGACGAAGUCGUAACAAGGUAGCCGUACCGGAAGGUGCGGCUGGAUCACCUCCUUUCUAGGGAGAGGGAGUCGGCGCCAUCGGUAGGGUGCCGGCGUCUAUACCCUCCCAGGUUGAUCGUCCGAUCUUCGCCGAGUGCCCGCUGGGUGGGACUCGGGUCUUCCACAGGCGAAGCGAAAGCGGAGCCGUCCAUCAAGCAAUUGGUGGCGAAGGCGAUCGUGACGACCCAGCAACAGUUACCGAAAUCUCGCUCGCCAACCCAAAGUUGGCUUCCUGCCACUCUUCAAGUGUUAGGGUGCAGCCGGUGCCCGUCCCCGCAAGGGACGACUCGCCGGCCCAUCCGGCGGGCGUUUAGCUCAGCUGGUUAGAGCACUGCCCUGAUAAGGCAGAGGUCUCUGGUUCGAGUCCAGAAACGCCCACCAUCAAGCUCGUCGGAGCGGCAAGGGGACGUAGCUCAGCUGGAAGAGCAUCUCCUUUGCAAGGAGAGGGUCAGGAGUUCGAGUCUCCUCGUCUCCACCACUCUCACAGUCGACAGGCAAGCGAAGCGGAGCGGACAACUGCGCAGAGCAGCACACAAGCAGCAACUGAAUAUCGGGUAGACCCCGGACAACCUCGCAGGAAGACAAGCAGCCUCCAGGUGGGCGGCUCGAGGAUCCUCGAGCCGUCUUUGUGUGUCUACCGCCACCGAUCCCCUGAUCAGUGGGCUCGAGCCAGGAAGUUCGAGGUCACCGACCAGCGGAUAGCUGGACCGGAAGGCUCCGCAAGGUGCCGAUCGGGGCCCCACAAGGGGCGCACCUUAACAAGUGAAGACGUGAUCAGAAAAGAUCUUCAAUUUCUGCCGUAAUUGACAGAGGUUAUGGAUCCCGGAUCUCCCCGACGGGCGGCCCUUUGGGUUGGUUGUUGAGGGAGGUCAAGCUACACAGGGCACGAGGUGGAUGCCUUGGCGCCAAGAGCCGAUGAAGGACGUGGUAGGCAGCGAAAUGCCUCGGGGAGCAGCGAGCAUGCUUUGAUCCGAGGGUGU
rnacentral:sRNA from 1 species